UCGAACUAUCGAGGGUUGUUGCUGGGUGUCGAAGGACACCAUGUGCACGCCUUCACGAUUUUCAAACCCCUGUGCACCUAUUGUAGGCUGGUCGUAGGGCUGACUCCGGUCGGUCUGAAAGCCAGGCUAUGUUUACACACGCUUCAGUCUAAGAAUGUCAUUUGCGGAUAACGCAUUGUAUA
rnacentral:misc_RNA from 1 species